rnacentral:miRNA from 1 species
GUUAUAAGGCAAAGACCUCUUUCUUUCUUUCUUUCUUUCUUUCUUUCUUUCUUUCUUUCUUUCUUUCUAAGAGAGAGAGAGAGAGAGAGAGAGAGAGAGAGAGAGAGAAUGAGAAUC